UGGGGAAUAUUGCACAAUGGGCGGAAGCCUGAUGCAGCGACGCCGCGUGGGGGAUGAAGGCCUUCGGGUUGUAAACUCCUUUCGACAGGGACGAAGCUUUUGUGACGGUACCUGUAUAAGAAGCACCGGCUAACUACGUGCCAGCAGCCGCGGUAAUACGUAGGGUGCGAGCGUUGUCCGGAAUUACUGGGCGUAAAGAGCUCGUAGGUGGUUUGUCGCGUCGUCUGUGAAAUUCCGGGGCUUAACUCCGGGCGUGCAGGCGAUACGGGCUGACUUGAGUGCUGUAGGGGAGACUGGAAUUCCUGGUGUAGCAGUGAAAUGCGCAGAUAUCAGGAGGAAUACCGAUGGCGAAGGCAGGUCUCUGGGCAGUAACUGACGCUGAGGAGCGAAAGCAUGGGUAGCGAACAGG
rnacentral:rRNA from 1 species